rnacentral:rRNA from 1 species
GAUGAACGCUCGCUACAGGCUUAACACAUGCAAGUCGCGGGGCAGCAUGGGGGUUGCUUGCAAUCCCCGAUGGCGACCGGCGCACGGGUGAGUAACGCGUAUCCAACCUGCCCUUCACCACGGGAUAACCCGGCGAAAGUCGGACUAAUACCGUAUGUUGUCCAUUGACGGCAUCCGAUUUGGACGAAAGGCUUGGCGGUGAGGGAUGGGGAUGCGUCCGAUUAGCCAGACGGCGGGGUAACGGCCCACCGUGGCUACGAUCGGUAGGGGUUCUGAGAGGAAGGUCCCCCACACUGGAACUGAGACACGGUCCAGACGCCUACGGGAGGCAGCAGUGAGGAAUAUUGGUCAAUGGGCGUAAGCCUGAACCAGCCAAGUAGCGUGCAGGAUGACGGCCCUAUGGGUUGUAAACUGCUUUUAUGCGGGGAUAAAGUGGCCCACGUGUGGGCUUUUGCAGGUACCGCAUGAAUAAGGACCGGCUAAUUCCGUG